AUUGAUUUUUUUAUCAUCAAUUUCAGUGUUCCUGUAACUAACUUUUAGUGUGUUUUAAGGAAAAAAUUUAUUGGGAUGAACGUUUCGAACAUGCUGCACGUUCUUACAUCAUGAAGGACAUUGGGAAGAAGUGAAGGGCGUUUAGACUUGGAUUGUAUAAAAAAUACUAUCGCAAGAAGGAAAGUUUUGAAGAGAAUAUCGCAAACCCUCUACUUGCAAUUCCUAAAGAAGAUUGGGCUGAGUUUCUUAUUUACCGUUCCAAACGCAAGACUAAGGAAAUGUGUGAAAAAAACAAAAAGAAUAGAAACAACCUCACUAUUAAUCACACUGGUGGAUCAAAGAAGCUUAAGAGAAGAAAAUAUGAAAUGGAGGCAAUGACAAAUAAGGAAAUAAGCAGGGGAGUUUUAUAUGUUGAAACUCAUAAGAAGCAUGAUGGUUCAUUUGUUAAUGAAGAAGCACAAGCUAUAUGUGAAAAGAUUUGUAACAUUGAAAGUCAGGGCACCACCUCAGCUAAGCCCUCUCGAAAUGAUUCUCUUGGACAAGUCUUGGGAGAAGAACGUUGUGGGAGAGUUUGUGGAAUGUCUUCUGGAGUGUGUCCUUCCCAAGUUUUUGGGUCAAGAUUUGAAAGAUUUUGUGGCACUACUCCCUCCUCUUCUGCUGUUGGUGCCAUCGAGCUACAGUUACAAUGUGUGGUUGAUAAAUUAGAAUAAAAAAUGGCAUCAGAUUCCCAGUUCAUGAAAGAAAUGGCAAGCACAAUCGUUCUUCUAUGUUAGAAGACAAAUGUUCCUUUACCUACUACAGUUUCCACAGCUACAAGCGAACCAAUAGAGGAAGAUGUUGUUGCCCAAUAUCAAUCUCAAGCACAAGCUAAUCAAUCAAAAAAUGUUGAAGCAAAUGAACCAAAUAAUGUUGGAGGGAUAUGAAUAUCUAAUUUACUGGGAAGAACUCAUGCAAUUCCAUGAAACUUAUUAUUGCCUUGAUGAGAAGGCUUUUAGUUAUAAUUAUGUUGUCCUAGAUGUGGAUCUGUUUAUUAUUGUACUUUUUAUUAAUAACUACUUUGUAGUGCACUUAUGUCACGAAGUUGAUAAACUCUAUCUUUUGGAAUGCUACUUUAUUUUACCAUC